rnacentral:rRNA from 1 species
GAGUUUGAUCCUGGCUCAGGAUAAACGCUGGCGGCGCACAUAAGACAUGCAAGUCGAACGAACUUAAUACAUUCUUUUAGAUUGUAAGCGGUUAGUGGCGGACUGGUGAGUAACGCGUGAGUAACCUGCCUAUUAGAGGGGAAUAACAGUGAGAAAUCAUUGCUAAUACCGCAUAUGCUCACAGUAUCGCAUGAUACAGUGAGGAAAGGAGCAAUCCACUAAUAGAUGGACUCGCGUCUGGUUAGCUAGUUGGUGAGGUAGAAGCUUACCAAGGCGACGAUCAGUAGCCGGACUGAGAGGUUGAACGGCCACAUUGGGACUGAGAUACGGCCCAGACUCCUACGGGAGGCAGCAGUCGGGAAUAUUGCGCAAUGGAGGAAACUCUGACGCAGUGACGCCGCGUAUAGGAAGAAGGUUUUCGGAUUGUAAACUAUUGUCGUUAGGGAAGAAAAAAGACAGUACCUAAGGAGGAAGCCCCGGCUAACUAUGUGCCAGCAGCCGCGGUAAUACAUAGGGGGCAAGCGUUAUCCGGAAUUAUUGGGUGUAAAGG